rnacentral:lncRNA from 1 species
UUUAAGCAUGUUCUAUAUGGAUCUAAGCAAACAUAUUAUUAACCAAAAGUAGUUCAAACCACUGAAUAAUUAUCCUAAAACAUGUUGUGUAUUUGUUACAUACUUGUAUGCAAAUUAAACUGAAAUACUAGAAUCAUUACUACUACAUCAUUAGUUUUUUAAACUAGCAUAUGAGAGAAGGAAUUUACCAUCUAUAUUGUUACAGACUUAUAUUCAUUUAGACAACAAUAGUCCUUUACAUGUUUCUAAUGAAGACUACAUAUACCAGUUAAUAUACUAAACUACGACAAAACAAAUUCGAAAACUUUAAGACUUCAUUUCAUUUAUGCUUCAAGUUUCAGCUACAAAUGUACCAGUAUAGCAAUGUGCACCUGGUAUUUGGAAACAAAGAAGAAUAGGAGAGUUAGUGAUGGCAGUAACAGUAUCACAACAAUAGACUCAACAAUAACAGUUUUAGCAAUGCAAUAGAACCAACAGUAAUAGAAGGAAUAAUAGCUUAGAAUCCAGCAAAAACUCAAAACCAGUUAAAAAAACCAACACUGCCAAACAGAUUGUACUCCACACUGAUCAACAACCACUCAAAUGUUUUGAAUACCCAAAUAUAGAACAGAAAACUAGAGAUUCUGACUAUUUAUGCUCUCAAAACUGACGUAACAGUAUCUCUCAGUAAAACCUCUAGUUCAAAGUAUUAUCUGGUUUGAAAGAGCUUAUAGAAACUGAAAUUAAGUUGUAGAUUGAAAAAUGAACUCAAGAGGAAACAAUGGAACAUUUCUUUUCUCCCUAAGCUUUUUUUCCUCCCCAAAACUGAUUGGAAUAUUCUCUUAUAUAACCAAACUGAAAACUUUUUACAACCUGUUAAAAACCUUUUUAAAAACUGAUUAUUCCUUUUGUUUUUCCACUUAAAUUUUUCUAGGCAUGGAACUCUUAUUUUAAAAUUUCUGGAAAUUAGAAUGUAUUGACUACCCUGUUCUACAGCAGGUUCCACUAUCAUUUUCAUGUGCAUUUUCAUCUUUUAAUAUUAAAAUCAUCCUAAUACUGACUUUUACUUUAAAAGAUGUCAGCCAAGGUGUAUUGGCACUAUGAUUAUCUCCAAUGGCUCACACAUGCUCAAAUUGCAAUCCACUUAACUAAACUCUAAAAUUUCUAUUAGAGUUACAGCCAUAACCAAUUCAGAUUUUAAUUCAAACCAGGAUUCGGACACAAAUUAAUAGAAUCAAUAACACUACUGUCAACAUAAUCUAACAAUCAAGCCUAUACAACUAAUCGACGACAUUUAUCUAAUCAAUAAUAGCACACAUAAUCGAUAUACAAUAACCAACACAAAAAAAUGUGAUUCAUAAAAAUUUGGACAAAAUAGGAGAUUAUGAAACUAAUGACUCGACGAUAUCAAUCGAGUAGAAUUUGGGUUACAUAACAGACACAACUAUCAAACGAACAGAAGGAAUUUGACCGAAUAAAAGGUCUUUAAUUCAGAGAAGAAGAGAACAGUUGAUAAAAAAUAAAAAAAAUCAAUAAUAAUAAAAAAUAAACUAAUAACGGAUAUUAACCAGUAAGAAUAAAAGAUAAGAAGAAGGAAUACCUCAGAAGAAAAAUCAGAAAUCAACGGACUUGGGCCAAUUUCGGACUUUGAACUUUUGAGGUCAAACGGAUUUUACUUGAACUGUUCUCAAUUGAGAACACCUCAAUUAAAUUCAAUUAGACCUCAAACCCUAAUUAAUUUGAUGGAUUCCCUAAUCUGGUUUUCUAGGUUUUUUGAGGGCUCGAUUAGGGAUUUAAACUUUCUGGUUAGAUUCGAAUGGGAUUAAUGGUGGUUAAAGCAUGAGGGAGGACAGAUGGGUUGUUGGUGUGACUUUGGGGCCGAUUGAGAUGGGUUCGAGUUUUUCAUGAAUCUUCAAAUGAAGAUUCGAGAAACGCCAGGUUGAUUCGAGGUAAUAUGAGGGUGGAUUCGUGGAGAGAGGAGUUAGGUAGUUCAGGGGUGUUGUUUGGGUGGCCGGCACCGUCGUUGUCGCCAGGUUUCUAGUGAAGGUGUGGGGGGAGGCUCUAGGGUAUCACUUGUGUGUUUGGGAGCGUCUCUGAGAGAGACGGAGUUGAGAGGGUAGUGGAUUGGGGGUCGGGGUAAUGACUU